rnacentral:rRNA from 1 species
AUACGGGGGAUGCAAGCGUUAUUCGGAAUCAUUGGGCGUAAAGGGCACGCAGGCGGUUCUGUCAGUCAGAUGUGAAAGCCCGGGGCUUAACCCCGGACGUGCAUUUGAAACAGCAGGACUUGAGUAUGGUAGAGGAAAGCGGAAUUCCUGGUGUAGAGGUGAAAUUCGUAGAUAUCAGGAGGAACACCGGUGGCGAAGGCGGCUUUCUGGACCAAAACUGACGCUGAGGUGCGAAGGCGUGGGUAGCGAACAGGAUUAGAAACCCCAGUAGUCC